AAGUGUUUAUUAGCAGUGUGUGAUUAAGAAGUGUCGUGUGAUAAACAAUGGAGAAUAUAUCGUACUCCCCUUGCAAUAGUCAAGAAAACAAUACAUAUAAGCAAUAUUACUUUCCUGCGAAUUUGGUAGAAGAAGAAACACAAAAUUUGCUCAUAGAUCAUGAAAUGCCAUCAAAGAAAAUGAAAAGGAAAUCUGAAAAUAUAGACAUUUUUUUCGAGUCAUCCCCAAAAAAUAAAAACAAAACUAGUUCAACAGUGGCUCGAGCUAACAAAGAUGGCAGUAUAUCGUAUAUAUCUACGAACUCCAACGAUGGUGCGACAGCCACACAUCUCAUUAAAUUAGAGGUGUAUGACCUAAAAAAACUAGCCAAAAUACCUCAGUCUCAACACUGGAAACAUGCUAAUGUAAAAAUCAAAUAUUAUACAGAAAAGGCUAAUGGAAAUUUUGCGAACACGAAUGAGAUAAUUUAUAAUAUUACAAAAGAAAUCGCAGAAACAGAGGGUUGUAAAAAAUACUCAUUUAAUAAUUAAUAACUUAAUCUAUCAUUAGUAAACUACCUCACAUAAAUACUUCACCAUAAUUUAAUUUGUGAGAUUAAUUCGACGUAACACUUAUACAAGCAGUAUAAAAACACAUUGUAAAUCCUAUAGUAAUGUCAGUAAGCCACCUGGUGCUGUUAAUGAAUAAGUCUCCCUCUGUAGUCUUAUAAACUGUCAGCAAUGGAAGAUACAAUUGACAGCUGUGUUAGCACAUUUUUCAACACUUCAAUUAAUGAUGAGGAACUCAUUGAGGCUUUAGAUUAUUUUGACUUACUGGAUCCAGCAUAUGACAAUGAAUUGUAUAAUAUAUGUGAAGCAAUUGAUUCAAUCAUCCCAACUAAACAAAAACUUCAAAUUGGUGGAGCUUUAAAGCGGUCCAAUGAUUUCACCGUGAACAACUCUGCGAAAAAAGUGAAAUAUAAUGAGGGAGCCUCAACUUCAUCUAUUCAACACUCAGAAAAUAACUCCACUACACCAUCUGCAUAUUCAGAAGGUAAUAAAGUGAAGUGUGAUAUUUGCAAUAUUUUUAUAACCAAAAGGUAUUUUUCUAAUCAUUUAAAAAGUAAUUUACAUAAAAAUAAUCAUUUAAAGUCGCACCCAUCAUUAUCGAAUGUUUCUGUAA